CCUACGGGUGGCUGCAGUGAGGAAUAUUGGUCAAUGGGCGCGAGCCUGAACCAGCCGAGUAGCGUGCAGGAUGAAUGCCCUACGGGUCGUAAACUUCUUUUAUAAGGGAAUAAAGUGUGGCACGUGUGCCUUUUUGUAUGUACCUUAUGAAUAAGGAUCGGCUAACUCCGUGCCAGCAGCCGCGGUAAUACGGAGGAUCCGAGCGUUAUCCGGAUUUAUUGGGUUUAAAGGGAGCGUAGACGGGCUGUUAAGUCAGAUGUGAAAGUCUGUGGCUCAACCGUAGAAUUGCAGUUGAUACUGGCGGCCUUGAGUACAGUUGUGGCAGGCGGAAUACGUGGAGGAGGGGUGGAAAGCAUAGAUAUCACGGAGAACCCCGAUAGCGAAGGCAGCCUACCAAGCUGCGACUGACGCUGAUGCACGAAAGUGUGGGGAUCAAACAGGAUUAGAUACCCGGGUAGUC
rnacentral:rRNA from 1 species